rnacentral:rRNA from 1 species
GAUGAACGCUGGCGGCGUGCCUAAUACAUGCAAGUCGAGCGAACGGACGAGAAGCUUGCUUCUCUGAUGUUAGUGGCGGACGGGUGAGUAACACGUGGAUAACCUACCUAUAAGACUGGGAUAACUUCGGGAAACCGGAGCUAAUACCGGAUAAUAUUUUGAACCGCAUGGUUCAAAAGUGAAGGACGGUCUUGCUGUCACUUAUAGAUGGAUCCGCGCUGCAUUAGCUAGUUGGUAAGGUAACGGCUUACCAAGGCAACGAUGCAUAGCCGACCUGAGAGGGUGAUCGGCCACACUGGAACUGAGACACGGUCCAGACUCCUACGGGAGGCAGCAGUAGGGAAUCUUCCGCAAUGGGCGAAAGCCUGACGGAGCAACGCCGCGUGAGUGAUGAAGGUCUUCGGAUCGUAAAACUCUGUUAUUAGGGAAGAACAUAUGUGUAAGUAACUGUGCACAUCUUGACGGUACCUAAUCAGAAAGCCACGGCUAACUACGUG